rnacentral:rRNA from 1 species
UACGGAGGGUGCAAGCGUUAAUCGGAAUUACUGGGCGUAAAGCGCACGCAGGUGGCUGAGCGAGUCGAUUGUGAAAGCCCUGGGCUUAACCUGGGAAUUGCAGUCGAUACUACUCAGCUAGAGUAUGGGAGAGGGUAGUGGAAUUCCCGGUGUAGCGGUGAAAUGCGUAGAUAUCUGGAGGAACACCGGUGGAGAAGGCGGCAUACUGGACCGAUAUUGACGCUGAUGCGAGAAAGCCAGGGGAGCAAACGGG